rnacentral:misc_RNA from 1 species
AACAAGGCGUACCUGCGGACCUGCGGAGGGAUCAUUACCGAGUGCGGGCCCUCGCGGCCCAACCUCCCACCCUUGUCUCUCUAUACCUGUUGCUUUGGCGGGCCCACCGUGGCUAGGUCGCCGGGGGACGGACGUCUCCGGGCCCGCGCCCGCCGAAGCGCUCUGUGAACCCUGAUGAAGAUGGGCUGUCUGAGUAGUAUGAAAAUUGUCAAAACUUUUAACAAUGGAUCUCAGAUCGGA